AGCUUUGCACAGUGGCAGUAUCAUAGCCAAUGAGGUUUAUACAAGGCUCAAUUAUUGCUAACUGAAUAUUGUAAUCUGUAAUUCC
rnacentral:snRNA from 1 species